UACGUAGGGUCCGAGCGUUGUCGGGAAUUACUGGGCGUAAAGAGCUCGUAGGUGGUUUGUCGCGUUGUCCGUGAAAACUCACAGCUUAACUGUGGGCGUGCGGGCGAUACGGGCAGACUGGAGUACUGCAGGGGAGACUGGAAUUCCUGGUGUAGCGGUGGAAUGCGCAGAUAUCAGGAGGAACACCGGUGGCGAAGGCGGGUCUCUGGGCAGUAACUGACGCUGAGGAGCGAAAGCGUGGGGAGCGAACAGG
rnacentral:rRNA from 1 species